UUCUCGCCCGUUCGCGGUGGUUAAACGAAACUCGUCAUCCUCGCGGGAUGAUAUAUCUCUCUAGCCAUCCGCUCUGGCUCGCUCCUCGAAAUCCACUGAAGCUCGAAGCUUCCACCUCGAAGUUGCGGGACCGUUUUUCUCCCACUCCUUCGAGGUUCUUUUCGUUCGGCCAAUCGUGGCCCUUCGCGUCACGCGAGUCACGCCCGGUGCCGCGGUGGCUUUUUCCCCCGGGAUUGCGGCUCGCGGUUCGCGUAUGCGAUCCCCGAUGCACGACCGUUAUUAUUACGUCACGGUAAUUUCCGUAAUUUAACGAAAUAAAUUAUUUGAAAUGAAAUAAAUAGCAUUGUUGGUCGGCCAUCGCGAGAUCGCCCGUACGCGUUUCGCUGAUCGCGUUUGCGCCUCUUAUUUUUAAUAAUUGAAAUUAUUUCAAUAAAUGUAACUUUGCAUGUAUUAUAAGAGAAAAUAAAUAUUCAAAGCAUAUUGCGUAUCGGUCGUUCUAAUUUGUAUGCAAAGUAAUGUUAAAAUGAUUUAUAAUAAAAUCGAAUAAUAAUUAUCAUCGAAAUAAAAUAAAAUAAGACAUAAAAUGUAAAAUAUAAAAAAAUAAGAUAAUGAAAAUAAUAUAUGUGAUUUAAAGAAUGAUUAUCUACACGAAAUGUAAAGUAAAAUAAAGUAAAGUAAUUAUCCUAGUUUUGUAUCGCCGGUUUCUUAUCUUAUUUGUCAUUGCUGUCGAGCGUUUGGAUGACAGGUUGCUGGUCUGCCUCGUGUUCGCCUCUCUUCUGCUGCGUUGUCACGUAUAUUGGCGUGACGGCCCUCUGCGGCGUUGAGGGUUCUGCGUCGCUGUUUCUUUCUCUCGUUCUUGGCGUUGGCGUAUCCGCCCUGGUUGGUUGUUCGGUGUCGCUUUUGCUUUUUAUUUCCUCCAUGAUCGUUUCAAUUUUCGCAUCAGACAUAUUUUUGUCGGGGUUUACGCUGGUUGAAUCGCCCUUUAGAAUCUACGCCCUUUAGCAUCUGUAAUUUAAUCGGGACAAAGUGAAAUUGCUGGUCGUCGACGGUGACAAACUAGCCCUGAAAAUGGAUAGCGCUGAAUCGUCGAGCCUAUACUCUGCCGUCAGCGGCAGGUGGGGCGGUGCGAGCGCGCGAGCGCGAGAGCCGUCACGAGGCCCUGACGAGUAGGAGGGUCGCGGCGGUGUGCGCAGAAGGGUCUGGGCGCGAGCCUGCCUGGAGCCGCCGUCGGUGCAGAUCUGGGUGGUAGUAGCAAAUACUCCAGCGAGGCCCUGGAGGACUGACGUGGAGAAGGGUUUCAUGUAAACAGCCGUUGCACUCGAGUCAGUCGAUCCUAAGCCCUACGAGAAAUCCUACGUCAAUGACGGCGUACUUAUACUCAAGUUUUUACUCUCUGUCUCGCACUCGCACACUCUCACUCGUCGCGCGUGACGCGCGCGCCCGCGUGCCGGGCGACGCUGUACGUCGCGCUGAACGACGAGCUGUGUGCUCGCGAGCUCAAGUGUUCUGACACACGCCCGUCGGGCGAAAGGAAAUCCGGUUCCUAUUCCGGAACCCGGCAGCGGAACCGCAUACAAUUCGGGCCCUCGUAAGUGUGUUCGUCGGGGUAACCCAAAAUGACCUGGAGACGCCGUCGGGAGAUCCGGGAAGAGUUUUCUUUUCUGUAUAAGCGUUCGAGUUCCCUGGAAACCUCUAGCAGGGAGAUAGGGUUUGGUUCGCGAAGAGCACCGCAGUUGCGGCGGUGUCCGGAUCUUCCCCUCGGACCUUGAAAAUCCAGGAGAAGGCCACAUGGAGGUGUCGCGCCGGUUCGUACCCAUAUCGGCAGCAGGUCUCCAAGGUAAAGAGCCUCUAGUCAAUAGACUAAUGUAGGUAAGGGACGUUGGCAAAUUGGAUCCUUAACUUCGGAAUAAGGAUUGGCUCUGAGGAGCGGGGCGUGUCGGGCUUGGUCGGGAAACGGGUUUGGCUGACGUGCCGGGCCUGGGCGAGGUGAAUGCUCGGCGUUCUCGCGCCGAACACGGGAUCCGAGCUCGGUCCCGUGCCAGGCUUCCCGCGGAUCUUCCUUGCUGCAAGGCUCCCGUGGCGGCGCGAGCCGUCGCAGUCGUCCUCUUCGGCCGCCAUUUAACGCUCAGCUCAGAACUGGCACGGACUAGGGGAAUCCGACUGCCUAAUUAAAACAAAGCAUUGCGAUGGCUCUCGCGGGUGUUGACGCAAUGUGAUUUCUGCCCAGUGCUCUGAAUGUCAACGUGAAGAAAUCCAAGCAAGCGCGGGUAAACGGCGGGAGUAACUAUGACUCUCUUAAGGGUCAGCCUCCUCAGCUCUUGAUACCCACUCAGUGGAUUCUUUGAGCUGUGGACUAAGGCCCCCUUACAGCGAGUCGUAGUUGGGACGCAAUGCGCAACGUAUAGCCUCUCGUGUCCAAGUCACACAGCUACCUCCACGUGGUACUCCUGGUAACGUCUUCGGACGGCUAAAAGCUGCUGUGGCAAACCGGGCCACCGCAAGCGGGCCGUAGACCGACACCCAGCGGGUCGCGACGUUCUACUAGGGGAGAAGUGCACGACGACGACGGCCGGACAUCGGACGCAAGGCGGCGUGCCGGCGCGCGAGCCGCGAGGGCCCCGCGUGGCAUCGCUCACCGACGUGAAGCCAGCGUCGAUGACAAUGAAUCUCCACGUUUGAUCAUUUGGGUUUCUGACGUUUACCCGUUUCACGUAAUCUUGAACUAUCUCUUCAAAUUUCUUUUCAACUUUCCCUCACGGUAUCGGUCUCGUGGUCGUAUUUAGCCUUAGAUGGAGUUUACCACCCACUUAGAGCUGCACUUUCAAGUAACCCGAAUCUGAGGAGAGAUCCUCCCGAGACGCGCACCGGUCGCUACGGGCCUGGCAUCCUCUGCGGGUAAGUGGCCCCAUUCAAGAUUGACUUGGACGCGACGCUGCACCUCGGGAUAAGCGGAACCUCCCGAACACCACAUUUCCCUGCGGCGGAAACGCGAGAUUCGAUGCUGGGCUCAUUCCUGUUCGCUCGCCGCUACUAGGGAAAUCCUGGUUAGUUUCUUUUCCUCCGCUUAAUAAUAUGCUUAAAUUCAGCGGGUAAUCUCGCCUGCUCUGAGGUCGUCGAAAUUAUGCGACGACGACGACGGCGCGUAGGCUGCGCGUCGCUCCGUACAGCGCGCAAACACCUCCCACCUUCUCUCUACAUUUUAUAGAUAUAAUCGAGUAGGUAGGACGGGCGGACGGCGACGCUCACAACCGGGCACCGCGCGUGUGCGCGUGCUGAAGUGUUAACGACAACGAAGCGGACACUCUUGGUGCGACGAGUACACGCGACCGAGCGCGCCGGUCCAAGCCUUUCUCUUUCUUUUAUG
rnacentral:ncRNA from 1 species